rnacentral:rRNA from 1 species
CACUGACGUCGCGACGCAUAUCAAUAAGCGGAGGAAAAGAAACUAACAAGGAUUCCCUUAGUAACGGCGAGUGAAGCGGGAAGAGCUCAAAUUUGAAAUCUUCAAGGUUCUACCUUGACGAAUUGUAGUUUAAAGAAGUGUUUUCUGUUAGUGGAGUGGCAAAAGUUCUUUGGAAUAGGACAUCAUAGAGGGUGAGAAUCCCGUAUUUGGUCAUUCCUUCUAGCUUUGUGAUACACUUUCAAAGAGUCGGAUUGUUUGGGAAUGCAGUCCAAAAUGGGUGGUAAAUUUCAUCUAAAGCUAAAUAUUGGCGAGAGACCGAUAGCGAACAAGUACCGUGAGGGAAAGAUGAAAAGAACUUUGAAAAGAGAGUUAAACAGUACGUGAAAUUGUCAAAAGGGAAGCGUUUGACACCAGUGUUGUUUUUCCGAAAAUCAAUUAUAAAUGUUUUGUUUCUGAGGAGUGAUGACUUCAUCGGCUUCCUUCUCUCUUCACGAAACUUUUGUAAUGCACUUUUCGGUUAACAAGUCAACAUCAAUUUCUUUUGUUGUAAAAGAGUAUUCGGAAGGUGGCUUUCUUCUCGGAGAAAGUGUUUAUAGCCCUAUACUUCUACAAUCGGAGAGAUUGAGGUCUGCAGCGUAGAUCCUUCGGGGUUAGAUACACUUUGUGCUAAGUUAUAGCCUUUCAUAGACAACUUGUUGACUAUGUUAUCAGUCAUGUAGCUUACUCGCUUAUGCUAUUUUACCUACGCUUAGGAUGUUGAGUCGUAGAGCACGCAG